AGGUGUGAUCAUACCAGUGUUAAUGCACCGAAUUCCAUCAAAACUAUGUAGUUAAGCAUGCUUGGGAUAGAGUAGUUAUGGGAUGGGUGACCUCCCGGGAGGUCCUAGUGUUGCACCCU
rnacentral:rRNA from 1 species